rnacentral:rRNA from 1 species
UACGAGGGGGGCAAGCGUUGUUCGGAAUUAUUGGGCGUAAAGGGCGCGUAGGCGGUGCGGUAAGUCUGUUGUGAAAUCUCCGGGCUCAACUCGGAGCUUGCAUCAGAAACUGCCGUGCUUGAGUGUGGGAGAGGUGAGUGGAAUUCCCGGUGUAGCGGUGAAAUGCGUAGAUAUCAGGAGGAACACCAAUGGCGAAGGCAGCUCGCUGGGACGGUACUGACGCUGAGACGCGAAAGCGUGGGGAGCAAACAGG